rnacentral:misc_RNA from 1 species
CCAGAGAUGGCGGGCCCCCGCGCCCCCGUCCCCAACCCUUUGUUGACCAAACCACUUUUGCCUCGGGGGUAGAGCGGCCUCCGCCGCCCCCGGUGGACCACUUAACACUGUCUCUGUACGUCGGAGUCUUUGAUGAAUAAAUGA